rnacentral:rRNA from 1 species
GACGAACGCUGCCUGCGUGCUUAACACAUGCAAGUCGAACGGAAAGGCCCUGCUUUUGUGGGGUGCUCGAGUGGCGAACGGGUGAGUAACACGUGAGUAACCUGCCCUUGACUUUGGGAUAACUUCAGGAAACUGGGGCUAAUACCGGAUAGGAGCUCCUGCUGCAUGGUGGGGGUUGGAAAGUUUCGGCGGUUGGGGAUGGACUCGCGGCUUAUCAGCUUGUUGGUGGGGUAGUGGCUUACCAAGGCUUUGACGGGUAGCCGGCCUGAGAGGGUGACCGGCCACAUUGGGACUGAGAUACGGCCCAGACUCCUACGGGAGGCAGCAGUGGGGAAUAUUGCACAAUGGGCGGAAGCCUGAUGCAGCAACGCCGCGUGCGGGAUGACGGCCUUCGGGUUGUAAACCGCUUUCGCCUGUGACGAAGCGUGAGUGACGGUAAUGGGUAAAGAAGCACCGGCUAACUACGUGCCAGCAGCCGCGGUGAUACGUAGGGUGCGAGCGUUGUCCGGAUUUAUUGGGCGUAAAGGGCUCGUAGGUGGUUGAUCGCGUCGGAAGUGUAAUCUUGGGGCUUAACCCUGAGCGUGCUUUCGAUACGGGUUGACUUGAGGAAGGUAGGGGAGAAUGGAAUUCCUGGUGGAGCGGUGGAAUGCGCAGAUAUCAGGAGGAACACCAGUGGCGAAGGCGGUUCUCUGGGCCUUUCCUGACGCUGAGGAGCGAAAGCGUGGGGAGCGAACAGGCUUAGAUACCCUGGUAGUCCACGCUGUAAACGGUGGGUACUAGGUGUGGGGUCCAUUCCACGGGUUCCGUGCCGUAGCUAACGCUUUAAGUACCCCGCCUGGGGAGUACGGCCGCAAGGCUAAAACUCAAAGGAAUUGACGGGGCCCCGCACAAGCGGCGGAGCAUGCGGAUUAAUUCGAUGCAACGCGUAGAACCUUACCUGGGUUUGACAUGGAUCGGGAGUGCUCAGAGAUGGGUGUGCCUCUUUUGGGGUCGGUUCACAGGUGGUGCAUGGCUGUCGUCAGCUCGUGUCGUGAGAUGUUGGGUUAAGUCCCGCAACGAGCGCAACCCUUGUUCACUGUUGCCAGCACGUUAUGGUGGGGACUCAGUGGAGACCGCCGGGGUCAACUCGGAGGAAGGUGGGGAUGACGUCAAGUCAUCAUGCCCCUUAUGUCCAGGGCUUCACGCAUGCUACAAUGGCUGGUACAGAGAGUGGCGAGCCUGUGAGGGUGAGCGAAUCUCGGAAAGCCGGUCUCAGUUCGGAUUGGGGUCUGCAACUCGACCUCAUGAAGUCGGAGUCGCUAGUAAUCGCAGAUCAGCAACGCUGCGGUGAAUACGUUCCCGGG